rnacentral:ncRNA from 2 species
CGAAACGUACUAUCGCCUGGUCAUCACCGCGACGGGAGACAGGAAGCCGGUGCGAAUCCGGCACGGUCCCGCCACUGUGACCGGGGAGUACGACCCUUCGGCAGGCCACUGCGCGCGGCGCGGGAAGGCGAGGAGGGACGUCGGUCCGGGAGUCAGAACACUGGCCUGUCGCGGGCCCGUUCC